rnacentral:rRNA from 1 species
GUUGAACGCUGGCGGCAUGCCUAACACAUGCAAGUCGAGCGAUCACAUGAGGCACCUGCCUCUCUUACGUAAGAGGCGGUUGGGUGAGUAUAACGUCGAUAACAUACAUCUAAGACUGGGAUAAAUUCCGGGAACCGGUACCAAAAACGGCAAAUAUACUGAACAGCAAGGUUCUGUAGUGUAAGGCGCUUUUGCUAUCACUUUUAGAUGGUUCCACUCCGCAUUAGGUAGUAGGUGAGGUAACGGCUUACCAAGGCAACGACGCAUAUCCGACCUGAGAGGAUGAUCGGCCACACUGGAACUGAGACACGGUCCAGACUCCUACGGGAGGCAGCAGUAGGGAAUAUUGCACAAUGGGCGAAAGCUUGAUGGAGCAACGCCGCGUGGAUGAAGAAGGACUUCGGAUCGUAAAACUCUGUUAGUAGGGAGGAAGGAAUGUAUGAGAAUCUAUUCACGCAUUGACGUUACCUAAACAGGAAGCCACGGCUAACUACGUG